rnacentral:lncRNA from 1 species
AGCCCAGGCUCUGCAAGCUGAAAAAGAAAAACAAAUUUGGAUCAGUCAUGAUUAUGUUUCCAAAAACUAUAUCAUUAAUGGACUGGAAGAUGACCUGUAUGAUUAUUAUAGAACAUACUAUAACACCUCAUGUCAAUUUAUCUAGAAUAUCAACAAGAGUGUACAUAAUUGAAUCGGGAAACACUAAAUUUUCAUUACAUAUCGUCUGAAAUAAAUAAAUAGGAUUACAAAAUCCAAGAGAUUAAUACUAAAUCGAGCUAACAACUAAAAACAUAAAGAAACUAAAUCUUAUACAAAAUAUAAGACAACAUGACGUCAGC